rnacentral:rRNA from 1 species
CCUACGGGUGGCAGCAGUGGGGAAUAUUGGGCAAUGGGCGCAAGCCUGACCCAGCAACGCCGCGUGAAGGAAGAAGGCUUUCGGGUUGUAAACUUCUUUUCUCAGGGACGAAGAAAGUGACGGUACCUGAUGAAUAAGCCACGGCUAACUACGUGCCAGCAGCCGCGGUAAUACGUAGGUGGCAAGCGUUAUCCGGAUUUACUGGGUGUAAAGGGCGUGUAGGCGGGAAAGCAAGUCAGAUGUGAAAACCAUGGGCUCAACCUGUGGCCUGCAUUUGAAACUGUUUUUCUUGAGUACUGGAGAGGCAGACGGAAUUCCUCGUGUAGCGGUGAAAUGCGUAGAUAUGAGGAGGAACACCAGUGGCGAAGGCGGUCUGCUGGACAGCAACUGACGCUGAGGCGCGAAAGCGUGGGGAGCAAACAGGAUUAGAUACCCCAGUAGUC